rnacentral:rRNA from 1 species
GGGGAAUAUUGGACAAUGGGGGAAACCCUGAUCCAGCAAUGCCGCGUGUGUGAAGAAGGCCUGCGGGUUGUAAAGCACUUUCAGCAGGGAAGAAAAGCUCGGGGCUAAUAUCCCCGGGUCUUGACGUAACCUGAAGAAGAAGCACCGGCUAACUCCGUGCCAGCAGCCGCGGUAAUACGGAGGGUGCGAGCGUUAAUCGGAAUUACUGGGCGUAAAGCGCACGUAGGCGGCUUCCUAAGUCGGAUGUGAAAGCCCCGGGCUUAACCUGGGAAUUGCAUCCGAUACUGGGUAACUAGAGUACGGGAGAGGGAAGUGGAAUUUCCGGUGUAGCGGUGAAAUGCGUAGAUAUCGGAAGGAACACCAGUGGCGAAGGCGACUUCCUGGCCCAGUACUGACGCUGAGGUGCGAAAGCGUGGGGAGCAAA